GUGUUAGAUUAUAAUUUAGUUUGAAGCUAAAUUUACUAAGCAAAGUUUAGCUAACACU
rnacentral:tRNA from 1 species